GAAGCGGAACAGCCCAAAUUUGAAAUCCGGCCCCGGCCCGAGUUGUAAUUUGGAGAGGGUGUCUCGGGGGCCACGCCCGCCCAAGUCCCUUGGAACAGGGUGUCGGAGAGGGUGAGAACCCCGUACCUGGCCGGCCGUCCACCCCCACGCGAGGCCCCUUCGACGAGUCGAGUUGUUUGGGAAUGCAGCUCUAAGUGGGUGGUAAAUUCCAUCUAAGGCUAAAUACCGGCCGGAGACCGAUAGCGCACAAGUAGAGUGAUCGAAAGAUGAAAAGCACUUUGGAAAGAGAGUGAAAAAGUACGUGAAAUUGUUGAAAGGGAAGCGCUUGCGCCAGACCCGCCACCGGUCAAUCAGCCGUUGUUCUCAGCGGCGUGCUUGGCCGACGGCGGGCCAGCAUCGGUCCGGGCGGCCGGAGAAAGUCCCCGGAACGUGACUCCCCCCCGGGGGAGCCUUAUAGCGGGGAGCCAUGCGGCCAGCCGGGACCGAGGAUCGCGCUCCGGCGAGGAUGCUGGCGUAAUGGUCGCAAGCGGCCCGUCUUGAAACACGGACCAAGGAGUCUAACGUCUAUGCGAGUGUGUGGGUGACAAACCCGCGCGCGGAAUGAAAGUGAACGGAGGUGGGAACCUCGCACCAUCGACCGAUCCUUCCUCGGAUGGAUUUGAGUAGGAGCAUAGCCGUUGGGACCCGAAAGAUGGUGAACUAUGCCUGGAUAGGGUGAAGCCAGAGGAAACUCUGGUGGAGGCUCGCAGCGGUUCUGACGUGCAAAUCGAUCGUCGAAUUGGGUAUAGGGGCGAAAGACUAAUC
rnacentral:rRNA from 1 species